AUUCCUACGGGAGGCAGCAGUGGGGAAUAUUGCAUAAUGGGUGCAAGCCUGAUGCAGCCAUGCCGCGUGUGUGAAGAAGGCCUUCGGGUUGUAAAGCACUUUCAGCGAGGAGGAAAGGUUGGUAGCUAAUAACUGCCAGCUGUGACGUUACUCGCAGAAGAAGCACCGGCUAACUCCGUGCCAGCAGCCGCGGUAAUAAU
rnacentral:rRNA from 1 species